UACGUAGGGUGCAAGCGUUAAUCGGAAUUACUGGGCGUAAAGCGUGCGCAGGCGGUGCUGUAAGACAGGCGUGAAAUCCCCGGGCUCAACCUGGGAAUUGCGCUUGUGACUGCAGUGCUGGAGUGCGGCAGAGGGGGAUGGAAUUCCGCGUGUAGCAGUGAAAUGCGUAGAUAUGCGGAGGAACACCGAUGGCGAAGGCAAUCCCCUGGGCCUGCACUGACGCUCAUGCACGAAAGCGUGGGGAGCAAACAGG
rnacentral:rRNA from 1 species